CAAAAGGUAGUUUAACUGAGAAUACUGGCUUUGGGAGCCAGUGGUGGGGGUUAGAGUCCCCUCUUUUUGA
rnacentral:tRNA from 1 species